AGGGAUAUAGCUCAGCAGAACAGCACUUGUCUGGCAAGCAUGAGAUCCUGAGUCUGAUUCCCAAUACCCCCA
rnacentral:tRNA from 1 species